GGGAAACUAUGUUCAAGAAAGCAAAAACAAAAGCUAAAAAGAAGCCACGUAAACGUUCAGAUAGUUCUGGAGGUUAUAACCUUUCAGAUAUUAUUCAGAGUCCAUCAUCUACAGAACUGUUGACAUCAGACUCUGAAGGAAGCUAUGCAGGAGUGGGUAGUCCUAGAGAUUUACAGUCCCCUGAUUUUACAACAGGAUUUCAUUCAGAUAAGAUUGAGGCGAAAGUCAAACAAUAUGUUAAUGGUACAUCUCCUGUGUAUUCUAGGGAAGAUUUAAAACCAUGGGAAAAGUCACCAAUACUUAAAAUAUCUGCUCCACAGCCCAUUCCCAGUAACAGAAUUGAUACUACCAGCUCUGCCAGUUGGGUUGCUGGUUCUUUCAGUCCUGUCAGCCCUCCUGUUGUGGAUCUCAGAACUAUCAUGGAAAUAGAAGAAAGUAGACAAAAAUGUGGAGCUACACCAAAGUCACAUUUAGGCAAAACAGUUUCUCAUGGAGUUAAACUUUCUCAGAAGCAACGAAAAAUGAUUGCAUUGACUACCAAGGAAAACAAUUCAGGAAUGAAUAGCAUGGAAACAGUUUUAUCCACUCCUUCAAAAGCCCCCAAACCAGUGAAUGCAUGGGCAUCUUCUCUGCAUUCAGUUUCAUCCAAGUCAUUCCGGG
rnacentral:lncRNA from 1 species